GUGUCAGCCGCCGCGGUAAAACGUAGGUACCGAGCGUUAUCCGGAUUUACUGGGCGUAAAGCGCGUUCAGGCGGCUUGACAAGUCGGGCAUGAAAUCUCUCGGCUCAACCGGGAGGGGCUGUCCGAUACUGUCGGGCUUGAGGGCAGUAGAGGGUGGUGGAAUUCCGGGUGUAGUGGUGAAAUGCGUAGAUAUCCGGAGGAACACCAGUGGCGAAAGCGGCCACCUGGACUGUACCUGACGCUCAAACGCGAAAGCUAGGGGAGCGAACGGGAUUAGAUACCCUCGUAGUCC
rnacentral:rRNA from 1 species